UACGGGGGGAGCAAGCGUUGUUCGGAUUUACUGGGCGUAAAGGGCGCGUAGGCGGCCACGACAAGUCACUUGUGAAAUCUCCGGGCUUAACUCGGAAAGGUCAAGUGAUACUGUCGGGCUAGAGUACAGAAGGGGCAACUGGAAUUCUCGGUGUAGCGGUGAAAUGCGUAGAUAUCGGGAGGAACACCAGUGGCGAAGGCGACUACCUGGCCUGUUCUUGACGCUGAGGCGCGAAAGCUAGGGGAGCAAACGGG
rnacentral:rRNA from 1 species